UAGAACGUCGUGAGACAGUUCGGUCCCUAUCUGCCGUGGGCGCUGGAGAAUUGAGGGGGGCUGCUCCUAGUACGAGAGGACCGGAGUGGACGCAUCACUGGUGUUCGGGUUGUCAUGCCAAUGGCACUGCCCGGUAGCUAAAUGCGGAAGAGAUAAGUGCUGAAAGCAUCUAAGCACGAAACUUGCCCCGAGAUGAGUUCUCCCUGAGACUUUAAGUCUCCUGAAGGAACGUUAAAGACGAUGACGUUGAUAGGCCGGGUGUGUAAGCGCAGCGAUGCGUUGAGCUAACCGGUACUAAUGAACCGUGAGGCUUAACCUUACAACGCCGAAG
rnacentral:rRNA from 1 species